UUUCGGAAAGGCGGCGGCAAGCCCAGGUGGCUCAGGACUCUUGGGACAGGGAGAGGGAUCUGGCGUGAACACCCCAGAAGGGCACCAAACGGCCUCACCUCUGCUGCCCCGUCCCCCUCGCAGCCACCUGGCACGGUCGCUUCGGUGGAAUGCACAGCAGGUCAUCGUCAGGCGUGGGUGCUGUGGACUUGAGGCUAGAAAGGCCGCAACAGGCCAGGUCCAGAGACCGGCCACCAAGGUGCUGGUGAUUCCUCUGGACGCCGCGCCUGUCGCUAGGCGGGCGGGCCGAGGGCGGUGGGACCCACAGCCACGGCCUCUGGGAUACCACGGCCUCUGGGACCGUGCCCCAGCCCCCGUGGCCCGGGAGCCGGUGUUUCCCAGGCAGGUUACAGGCUCAGUCCCAGGUGUUGAGGCGGGGUCUCUGUGCCCCCCGACCCCUCUCCCCCAGGAGGAGGCAUGGCCACAUGGCUGCUCCUGCUCAGCCCGCCCCAGAGCGUGGUCCCUGCCCACCCGCUGCUGGAAGGGCUAGCAGAGAGCAGCUUCCACGUAGAUGGUCCCCUGUCAGGGAGCCAGCAUCCCCGUGCUCAGCACUGUGGCCGAGGAGAUGGGGAGAGCCCGGGGCCAGCUAGUGCCCAGCACCCAGAGCCUGGAGGAGGCGCGCAGCCGCGUCCUGGGCUGCCUGGGCGACACAGCUGGGCCCUCCCCAUGUGCCCAGGGCCCUCCGGUGGGCUGCUCUCAGUCACGCUUCCUGGAGGGCACCACGUCCCUGGGCCUGACCGGAGCGGGCCAGCUGGGCAACUGUUGCAUCACCAGCCACAGGAAGCAGAGGAAGGGAUGGGAGUGGAUGUGCGGGGGAAUGAGGAAGUCCCGCGUGGCAUGGCCUGCCGCCCGCAGUGCGCCCGCCCGCACCAUGUCCGACUACGAGAACGAGGACGAGUGCUGGAGCGGCCUGGAGGGCUUCCGCGUGAAGCUCAUCUCCGUCAUCGACCCCGCCCGCAUCACGCCCUACCUGCGCCAGUGCAAGGUCCUGAGCCCCGACGACGAGGAGCAGGUGCUCAGUGACCCCAGCCUGGUCAUCCGCAAGCGGAAAGUGGGCGUGCUCCUGGACAUCCUGCAACGCACCGGCCACAAGGGCUACGUGGCCUUCCUCGAGAGCCUGGAGCUCUACUACCCGCAGCUCUACAAGAAGGUCACGGGCAAGGAGCCCACCCGCGUCUUCUCCGUCAUCAUUGACGCGUCUGGGGAGUCCGGCCUGACGCAGCUGCUGAUGAGCGAGGUGAUGAAGCUGCAGAAGAAGGCGCAGGACCUGACGGCGCUGCUGGGCUCCAAGGACGACCUCAUCAAGGAGCUGCGCGUGAAGGACGGCCUGCUGCGCAAGCACCAGGAGCGCGCGCAGAGGCUCAAGGAGGCCUGCGAGGCCGGCGGCCGCGAGCUCCAGCGCUGCAAGGACGAGAACUACGACCUGGCCCUGCGCCUGGCCCGUCAGAGCGAGGAGAGGGGCACCGCGCUCAUGCGCAACCGAGACCUGCAGCUGGAGAUCGAUCGGCUCAAGCACAGCCUCAUGAAGGCCGAGGACGACUGCUCGGUGGAGCGCAAGCACACGCUGAAGCUCCGGCACGCCAUGGAGCAGCGGCCCAGCCAGGAGCUGCUGUGGGAGCUGCAGCAGGAGAAGGCGCUGCUGCAGGCCCGGGUGCAGGGCCUGGAGGCCUCCGUGCAGGAGGGGCGGCCGGACCAGAGCAGCCCCUACAUCCAGGUGCUGGAGGAGGACUGGCGGCAGGCGCAGCGGGACCUCCAGGAGCAGACCCGCACCGUGUUCUCCCUGCGCAAGGACCUGCGCCAGGCCGAGGCCCAGCGCGCCCGGUGCCUGGAGGAGAAGGAGGUGUUCGAGCUGCAGUGCCUGGCCCUUCGGAAGGACUCCAAGAUGUACAAGGACCGCAUCGAGGCCAUCCUGCGGCAGAUGGAGGAGGUCGCCGUCGAGCGGGACCAGGCCAUCGUGACGCGGGAGGAGCUGCACGCGCAGCAGGCCCGCAGCCUGCAGGAGAAGGACGUGCUGCGGAAGCAGGUCCGCGAGCUGAGCGAGAAGGUGGACGAGCUGCAGCUCCAGCUGUUCCAGCGCGAGGGCCAGCUGCUGGCUCUGGAGGACAGGCUCAGGCGGCAGCAGCUGGAUACACCUGUCCUGAGCUCUGACCUGGAGGACAGCUCUCCCCGGAGCUCCCAGGAGCUCUCGCUCCCGCGGGACCUGGAGGAGGACGCCCAGCUCUCAGACAGAGGUGAGGCGGGGAGCCGUCUGGCGAGGAACCUGGCCAGAGCCUCUUGAUCUGCUCAAGUUGGCGCCCACCCUGACCUUCAUCACACAACCGAGGACGCGGCUGCCCCAGGACACGCGCCCCAGCCCUGUCCCGCUGGCCUUCACCGCCCCGCUUUACAGAUGGGGACACCGAGAAGCAGGGGGAUAAGCACCCCCCACGGUUCCCAGCAAGCAAACAAGAGCCCCAUUUGAACCCAGGGUCCAUGUUUGCAGGUCCAAAUCCCAGCUCCGUCCUUGUGGGCACGCCUGGCCCUCAGAGCCCACUCGAGCCCCGAAGGCAGAGUGGCGGCACCUGCCCCCUGGAGCAGGGCCCUGGGGAGGUGGCAGUGGGUCCUGCCCGGGUGUGCCAUGCCAGGGAGGGUGCACAGCAUGCGGGAGGGGGGACACAGGUGGAUGGCACUGGGGGCUUCGUGUGCGGGAACAUAGGACACAGGGAGGCAGAGAGGGUGGUGACAGGGGCUCGCUCUGAAGGCGGGUGUCAGAUGGGGGUUUUUGAGGACUGGGCGGGGAGGGGGCGGGGGCGGCGCCGCCCGCAGAGGUAGUGCGUGAGGCCGGACAGACUUCCUCAGCGGCAGGCUUGACCCCAGCCUGGGGGUGGGGAUGCGGGCAAAAGGGGAAGAAGAGGCAGCAAAUGGAGAAGUAAGGGCUCGGUCCCUCUGCUGCUGCCCAAAGACCUGAGCUUGAGGCCACCGAGCCCCCACGGGGAGAGGCAGGCAGCGCCUUCAGGCAGCCAGCGGCACCCUGGGGUUCCCAGCCCAGGCUGCUGUGGCCCCUGGCGGGAGGCCGGGUAGCCUUCAAGGCCAGAGGGAAAGGUGGCAGCUUCGGGAGAGACAGGGGGCUGGGCCUCUCCCACGGCGAUGUCCCUGGGACCUGGAACCCACAGGCCCCAAUAAUAACCAGUUUAGGGGGUCAGCCCAUCAGAGCACCGUUUCCAAGAGUCCUGAGCCCUGGGCCCGUCCGGGCGCUGGCAGGUUUGGGAGAGUCUGCUUGGGAGCGCUGGAAUCUGCUCCUGGAAGCGAGGAGGGGCCGUGAGGUCCCCGAGCCCCAGUCCUCUUGUCUGUGCAAUGGGAGUCCAAGCAUGCACCUGGCAAAGGGCACAGGACUGGCUCAGGGUGGCCCGGCCAUUGAGGAGAGUCUGGAGCAGCAGAAGGAGCGGCUUUCGCUGACCCCCACCGACGCAGGCCUGGGCCGCGGGGAGCCCCCGGAGAAGGAGAAGGGGCGGCGGCGCCUCAAGGAGAGCUUCGAGAACUACCGCAGGAAGCGGGCCCUCAGGAAGAUGCAGCACGGCUCGAGGCAGGGGGAGGUGGACUGGGAGAACACCACGGGCAGCGACAACACCGACACCGAGGGCCCCUAGCCGGCCCCUCCGUCCAGCCGCCUGGGACCUGGCCGCUGCCCCGCUAGGCCGCCUUUGUUGACGAGCACGGGCGUGUUCUGUCUCUGGGGAAUGCACACGCACGUUGCAGUGUUAAAAACGCAGCCGCGUCAAUAAACGAGCACCGUCCGGA